AGUGAACGCUGGCGGUAGGCCUAACACAUGCAAGUCGAACGGCAGCACAGUAAGAGCUUGCUCUUACGGGUGGCGAGUGGCGGACGGGUGAGGAAUACAUCGGAAUCUACUUUUUCGUGGGGGAUAACGUAGGGAGACUUACGCUAAUACCGCAUACGACCUACGGGUGAAAGCAGGGGAUCUUCGGACCUUGCGCGAUUGAAUGAGCCGAUGUCGGAUUAGCUAGUUGGCGGGGUAAAGGCCCACCAAGGCGACGAUCCGUAGCUGGUCUGAGAGGAUGAUCAGCCACACUGGAACUGAGACACGGUCCAGACUCCUACGGGAGGCAGCAGUGGGGAAUAUUGGACAAUGGGCGCAAGCCUGAUCCAGCCAUACCGCGUGGGUGAAGGAGGCCUUCGGGUUGUAAAGCCCUUUUGUUGGGAAAGAAAAGCAGCAGGUUAAUACCCCGCUGUUCUGACGGUACCCAAAGAAUAAGCACCGGCUAACUUCGU
rnacentral:rRNA from 1 species